UUUCCGUAGGUGAACCUGCGGAAGGAUCAUUACUGAUUUGGCGGACCGAGCGUCAGCGAGGUUCCGCGAUCACCUGUAUUUAAAACCCACACUUUGAAUGUAAUAUGUAUAUUUUUGUAUUUUUAAUAAUAAAAGAUCACUUUCAACAACGGAUCUCUUGGCUCUC
rnacentral:misc_RNA from 1 species